UACAGAGGGGGCAAGCGUUAUUCGGAAUUAUUGGGCGUAAAGGGCGCGUAGGCGGCUUGGCAAGUGGAAGGUGAAAUCCCUCGGCUUAACCGAGGAACUGCCCUCCAAACUGCUUCGCUUGAGACCGGGGGAGGUGAGUGGAAUUCCCAGUGUAGCGGUGAAAUGCGUAGAUAUUGGGAGGAACACCAGUGGCGAAGGCGGCUCACUGGACCGGUACUGACGCUGAUGCGCGAAAGCGUGGGGAGCAAACGGG
rnacentral:rRNA from 1 species